UCUCAAAUUCGUAAGUGUGAUUUUGCUCCGUUCUUUGAGUUUGUUGGUAUCCUGCAGCUUGUAUUGCCAUUGUUGCAGGAAGGUUUAUUCCGUUUCAUCCUGGGAGGAUUUAAUCCAUUACCUUGGCAACUUAUGAGGGGGUUAAAAUUCCUUAAGGACGCACAAGGAAAUUGUGGACUCGGAAUAUUUCUUAUCAUUUUCAGAGUUUCUGUUUCUUCUAACAAUUUUCUGAUUUCUGUUUUAACACAGUAUCGCUUACAGAUGAUGACCAGCACCAGCCUGUCAUUGUAAAGCUUGCAAAGUUUGGAUUUACAAUCGGACAUAGGCAAACAAUUGCUCCAGUACCCAAGAACUUAAAUCCCAAAAACAUUACCCUGGAAAAAGCUUUGAAGCUUUUGUUAAGUAAAGAUGUAAAACGAUGUGGUCGACCUAAGCACCAGCCACAGGUAGAAGAAGCUGUUGAGGCGAUGAAGUCAUUCUUUGAUGGAGGCUCUUCUCAGGCUGUGUUUUAUAGGAGGAAUGGUGGAAUACUGGAGCAUAUUUACGCCACACGGGCGGGCUUGGAUACUGUCCCAGUAUGAAGAGUUGUAUAUCUGGAGUGGCGAAGACAAUUUUGUUACUCGAAUAUCCAUUCUUCUGUAAUCACUUUUUACUUUUGUUGUCAUAGCAUUAGGCAGUAACUUGGACAUCCAGAUGGCCUGUUUAAUUCUCUUUUCCUGCAUCACAAAGAUGUAAAGAGAAUGAAGGCAUUUCAUUGGCAGUUAGUCUCAGUUUGAUGUAAAGAAAAUGGAUGUAAGCAUUCAAUAUUUGCUAAACAUAUUGUAUUUUGCAUGGAAGACCUCUCGUAAAUUUAUUAUACUACAGUCGUCCUAUUUCUUUUA